rnacentral:sRNA from 1 species
CUACAGCCCCGAUAGAAGUGGAAAUCCUUUUAUUUGGGGGUUCAAAAUAAAAGAUUGAAACGAAUAGCGGGAAAAAGC